GGUCGGUUGGCUCAGCGGUAGAGCAUAUGGUUCACAUCCGUGGGGUCACUGGUUCGAAUCCAGUACCGACCACCA
rnacentral:tRNA from 1 species